CCAAUAGCGUAUAUUAAAGUUGUUGCAGUUAAAAAGCUCGUAGUUGAAUUUCGGGAUCAAAUUGUCGGUCGUGCCUCGGUACGUACUGGCAUUAUUGGUUCCUCCCUUCUGAAGAACCGCGACGUCAUUAAUUUGGUGUCGCGGGGAGUCAGGACUGUUACUUUGAAAAAAUUAGAGUGUUUAAAGCAGGCUCGCGCUUGAAUACAUUAGCAUGGAAUAAUGAAAUAGGACGUUUGAUUCUAUUUUGUUGGUUUCUAGGAUCGACGUAAUGAUUAAUAGGGAUAGUUGGGGACAUUAGUAUUCAAUUGUCAGAGGUGAAAUUCUUGGAUUUAUUGAAGACUAACUACUGCGAAAGCAUUUGCCAAGGAUGUUUUCAUUAAUCAAGAACGAAAGUUAGGGGAUCGAAGACGAUCAGAUACCGUCGUAGUCUUAACCAUAAACUAUGCCGACUAGGGAUCGGAUGAUGUUAAUUUUUUAAUGACUCAUUCGGCGCCUUACG
rnacentral:rRNA from 1 species